rnacentral:rRNA from 1 species
GACGAACGCUGGCGGCGUGCUUAACACAUGCAAGUCGAACGAUGAAGCCUUCGGGUGGAUUAGUGGCGAACGGGUGAGUAACACGUGGGUGAUCUGCCCUGCACUUUGGGAUAAGCCUGGGAAACUGGGUCUAAUACCGAAUAUGAUCAUGCUCUUCAUGGGGUGUGGUGGAAAGCUUUUGCGGUGUGGGAUGGGCCCGCGGCCUAUCAGCUUGUUGGUGGGGUAAUGGCCUACCAAGGCGACGACGGGUAGCCGGCCUGAGAGGGUGACCGGCCACACUGGGACUGAGAUACGGCCCAGACUCCUACGGGAGGCAGCAGUGGGGAAUAUUGCACAAUGGGCGCAAGCCUGAUGCAGCGACGCCGCGUGAGGGAUGACGGCCUUCGGGUUGUAAACCUCUUUCAGCACAGACGAAGCGCAAGUGACGGUAU